rnacentral:rRNA from 1 species
CGAAACGUGACGGAGCAACGCCGCGUGAGGGAGGAAUGCCUGUGGGUUGUAAACCUCUUUUCUCAGGGAAGAAGAACUGACGGUACCUGAGGAAUCAGCAUCGGCUAACUCCGUGCCAGCAGCCGCGGUAAUACGGAGGAUGCAAGCGUUAUCCGGAAUUAUUGGGCGUAAAGCGUCCGCAGUGGCUUACCAAGUCUGCUGUCAAAGCGCAGGGCUUAACUCUGUAAGGGCAGUGGAAACUGGUAGGCUAGAGUGCGACAGGGGUAGAGGGAAUUCCCAGUGUAGCGGUGAAAUGCGUAGAUAUUGGGAAGAACACCAGUGGCGAAGCGCUCUACUGGGUCGCAACUGACACUCAUGGACGAAAGCUAGGGGAGCG